rnacentral:rRNA from 1 species
AGCGAACGUUAGCGGCGGGCUUAACACAUGCAAGUCGAGCGAGAGAGUGACUUCGGUCAUGAGUAAAGCGGCAGACGGGUGAGGAACACGUAGGUAAUUUUCCGUUUAGUGGGGGACAACGGUCCGAAAGGACCGCUAAUACCGCAUACGUUCCUUGGGGCUUUGGCCCUGGGGAGGAAAGCUGGGCAACUGGCGCUAAAUGAGAAGCCUGCGUCGCAUCAGCUAGUUGGUGGGGUAAUGGCCUACCAAGGCGAAGACGCGUAGCUGGUCUGAGAGGAUGAUCAGCCACACUGGAACUGAGACACGGUCCAGACUCCUACGGGAGGCAGCAGUGGGGAAUAUUGGACAAUGGGCGCAAGCCUGAUCCAGCCACGCCGCGUGAGUGAUGAAGGCC